AAUUCAAUAGCCUAGUUAAUAAUGAUACUCAUUUGCUUACUAAUUUGAUCAUAUGAUAUAAUAUAUAUCAGGGAAAAAGGCAAUAUACACCAUUAGAGCAACCAACGUCACAACAAGUGUUGAUUGAAAAAGUGUCUGCAGGUCCCAUAACUCUGUUUGUGAUUGGAGCACACACAAAUGUUGCAAUUUUCCUUAUGAAUAAUCCACACUUGAAGAAAAAUGUUGAACAUAUUUAUAUAAUGGGUGGAGGUGUAAGGUCAAGCAACCCAACUGGUUGUUGUCCCAAAAAUGCUUCAUCUUCAUGUGUACCUCGACAGUGUGGUGACCGUGGUAAUAUGUUUACAGAUUAUAAUACUAAUCCUUAUGCAGAAUUCAAUAUCUUUGGAGACCCUUUUGCAGCUUACCAGGUAAUGCACAUUAUUUAAUAUUAAUUAUUGCAUUGCUCCAAAGUUGUGCAAAUAAUUUAUCCUCUGUGUUGCACGAGUGUAAAUACUAGUAACAUACAGUCAUUUUUUAUUCACUAUUAUGUGAAAUUAGUCAUAUAUGUCUCUUUUUAAUUUUUUUUUUAUCUAAACACAUCCUAUAUCUAACAAAAAUAUAUAUACAUAGAUAGCUAUGUUUGUGACAAAAAUUUAAUAUUUUUAAUAGGUGAUUCACUCAGGAAUUCCAAUCACUCUUGUUCCUGUUGAUGCAACAAACACAAUCCCCAUCACUAAAGAAUUCUUUGAUGCAUUUGAAAACAAUCAAGAUACAUAUGAGGCACAAUACAGUUUCAAAUCCUUGAAAAUCUCUCGUGAUACUUGGUUUGACGACCAAUUCUAUACGGUAAUUUCUAAACGAAUUUACUCAUUUUCGUUACAAAUAUAAGAUAAAAUUGAUCAACAAAAAUGAACGUAUUUUAUUUAAAUUUUGAAUUAAAUAUAUUAAUUUUUAUUGAUUAAACUUUUUUAUGCCAUAUUGUGUUACUAAUCAAAUGUUUCAUCUUUGAUAGAUUAUAAAGUAACUAAUAUUGAAAAUAUUCAUUGUUAACAGAGUUAUUUUAUGUGGGACUCUUUCAUGACUGGUAUAGCCAUAUCAAUUAUGAGUAGACCCAAUAACCAAAAAGGAGAAAAUGAAUUUGCUGAAAUGAAGUAUAUGAACAUAACUGUAAUAACUUCAAAUGAACCAUAUGGGAUAUCUGAUGGGUCCAAUCCAUUAAUUAAUGGCCUAAAAGUUCCUAAGUUCAAUGUGCAAAAAGAUGGGGUACAUAGUGGUCAUAUUCAACAAGGACUCAGAGAUCCUCUUUGCUUUGUGAAGAAUGGGAAAGGCAAAUGUCAGGUAUGGUUGCUUUUUCUUAUAAGAUAGUAAAUUUAAUUUGUUAUGCACCAAGGACCAAAAAUAAACAAAAAAAUAUUUGUAAGAAUCAAAAUAAAUAAAUAAAUUUACGUGAAUUAAAACAAAAUAAAAACGCAUAAUUACAUGAACAAUCAUAUAUUUAAUCCUUCAUUUUUCGGUCUUUAAUUUCGCAAUCGAUUCUAUUCUUUUUUUGUAUUUCUAUCUUUCUAUUAGUUACAUAUAAUGAAUGCUAACAUGUAAUGUACUAUACAACAUGUGUCGUUUUAUAGGAUGGUUACACAAAAGAGGUAAGUGGUCCAGAUUCAGUGAGGGUACUUGUUGCCACAAAAGCAAAGCCUAACCAAGAUGUUGGAAGUUCACUAGACAGGGAAUUUUUCAUAAGCUUCUUAAAUGUAUGUUCAAUUUUUUAGUACAUUCUUCAAAGAUUUUAAAUUACUCACAGUUUUAGAAGGACAAAUAAAUUUGUGCUGACUUUGAUUGAAUUCUAAAAAGGAUAUAAACUAAUGUGAAUUUGACUUUGGUUAUUAAUUUGGUGGUUCAAAGGUUCUAAAGCAACCACAACAAACAGGGAGGUACAACUUCACCACACAAUUUCCCUACUACAGAGAAGUAACAUACAAGCCAGAUUUUCAUAAUAAAAUAUUGGGAAAACCUGUUGUGUUUGACAUGGACAUGAGUGCUGGAGAUUUUCUAGCUCUACUUUACCUCCUUAAAGUUCCUGUUCAAGUAAUCGACCUUAAGGUAGGUAUUCUGAUUUUUCUUUACUAAUUGUUUAUUUGUUUUACAUAAAAGCAAAUAUUAACACUCCAAGAUUGAAAAAGGUUCCCAAAUAAAAAACUCUUGAUAGUUUAAGCUGAAUUAGGAACCUUUCUACUUCUAAUUUGAGGACAUGUUACUUACUACCUAGUACAUCAAAAAUAAAUAACUGAUGCGUUACUCUGUGUAUGUUUGAAUUGACGUUAAAUUUGACGAAAUUAUUUACAGUGGCACCAUAAUUUCAUUGAAACUUCAAAGUAUAGUUUUUAUCAAAAUUACGAUGAGUAGAGAAGCACUGCAAUUCUACAAAGUUCACUGUCAAUUCAAACAUUUUUGUUGAAUUAUUUGCAUUUUUUUAUGAAAGUUGAAUUACUAGUAUUUGCAUUGAACUAUUUAAUUGUAGAGACAUAAUAUAGUACAUUUAAUUUAGGUAACAUCUAACUAACUUUGGUUCUAGGCAAUCAUUGUGAGCCCAACUGGAUGGGCAAAUGCAGCAACAAUAGACAUAAUUUAUGACAUACUUCACAUGAUGGGUCGUGAUGACAUCCCAGUUGGUCUAGGAGAUGUUUUUGCCACGAAUCAAACAGAUCCAAUAUUCGGAGCUGUUGGAAAUUGCAAAUAUGUUAAAGCCAUUCCUCAUGGGAGUGGAGGGUACCUUGAUUCUGAUACUCUUUAUGGUCUUGCUCGUAAUCUGCCACGCAGUCCAAGAAGGUACUUUUUAUUAGAUACGUAAAAUUAGUUACAAGUUAGUUAUUCUAGUUAGCUGUUAGUUACAAAUUAGUUACAAGUUAGUUAUUCUAGUUAGCUGUUAGUUACAAAUUAGUUACUUUAUAAGUAUUUCAAUCCAAUGGCUUUGCAUCAAGCUGCACAGUGCAGUUGUUGUAGAGGAUCCAAACACGGUACUUACAUGAAAAAUUAGCCGAGUUUGUUAAUUAUUUCAGGUAUACAGGAGAAAACUCUGUUAAGUUUGGGGCCCCACGGGAUACAGAUCACCCUGAACUUAGACAAUCACUGGCUAUGGAAGUUUGGGAGUCAGUAUUGCAAACAUUGAAACCAGGAUCUAAUGUUACGGUAUUAACAAACGGACCCUUGACUAAUUUGGCAAAGGUUGUUUCUGUGAAAAACAUAAGCUCUAGAAUUCAAGUAAGCAUAUUUGUUAUCAACUAUCUAAAUACAGUAUUAGUUUUAAUUUGUGUAUAAUCAACAAUUAAUAUAUUAUAUGCUCUUCAAGUAGAUUUUAAAGUAAACCAUAAAAACUUUCUAGUCGUUGUAACUUAUAUUGAAUAAGGUCAAAUAUAUUCUUUUGUCACUAUCAUCAAUGUUAAUCUUUUAAUUUGAUGAUUUUAGGGACAAAAACUCAACGGAAAUUUUCAUCAAAGUCACUAAAUUGAAAACUAAAUAUCAAUGAUUUGUUCUGUAAGGACUAAACUUGAUCGGUGGUAGUGCUUAGAAAAUUCCAAAAUGUUGCAGGAGGUUUAUGUAGUGGGGGGGCAAAACANNNNNNNNNNNNNNNNNNNNNNNNNNNNNNNNNNNNNNNNNNNNNNNNNNNNNNNNNNNNNNNNNNNNNNNNNNNNNNNNNNNNNNNNNNNNNNNNNNNNNNNNNNNNNNNNNNNNNNNNNNNNNNNNNNNNNNNNNNNNNNNNNNNNNNNNNNNNNNNNNNNNNNNNNNNNNNNNNNNNNNNNNNNNNNNNNNNNNNNNNNNNNNNNNNNNNNNNNNNNNNNNNNNNNNNNNNNNNNNNNNNNNNNNNNNNNNNNNNNNNNNNNNNNNNNNNNNNNNNNNNNNNNNNNNNNNNNNNNNNNNNNNNNNNNNNNNNNNNNNNNNNNNNNNNNNNNNNNNNNNNNNNNNNNNNNNNNNNNNNNNNNNNNNNNNNNNNNNNNNNNNNNNNNNNNNNNNNNNNNNNNNNNNNNNNNNNNNNNNNNNNNNNNNNNNNNNNNNNNNNNNNNNNNNNNNNNNNNNNNNNNNNNNNNNNNNNNNNNNNNNNNNNNNNNNNNNNNNNNNNNNNNNNNNNNNNNNNNNNNNNNNNNNNNNNNNNNNNNNNNNNNNNNNNNNNNNNNNNNNNNNNNNNNNNNCAGGAAUGCAGCAGACAAAAUAAAUGUGUUUUCAGUUCCUUCAAACCAAUAUGCAGAAUUCAACAUGUUUUUAGAUCCUUUAGCUGCCAAAACAGUGUUGGAAUCAGAAGUUGACAUCACACUCAUUCCACUGAGUACUCAACGCAGAGUGAGUGAAUUCACAACUAUUAUAGGUAGGUUGCGUGGCGCAAGAAAAACACCAGAGGGUUCGUUUUCCAAGCAUCUAUUGUCAAGGUUACACCGUUUGAAGCAAAUCCAUGACAGAUAUCACCAUAUGGUAUAAGUUUCUAUCCACAACUAUUUUUUCUAGCUUAAUCUUCUUUCAGAUCUCAUGAUUUCCAUACUUUAUAUUUAGAUAUAAAGCGUCCCAAGUUUCAAUCCUUUUCUUGGUAUAAAAUCCUCAUAUUGACAUUUGCUAACAAUUAAUUAUUAGCAUCUAUCGUUUAAAAGAAAACUUAUGUUUAUAUUAUAUUUGUUGUGUCGUCUAUCUGCCUUUUCGAUAAAAUAAUACUAAGUUUUGAAAUUUUAUGCAAUAAUUUGAUUGAGUAGAAAAUGAUAAAAUGAUAAAUAAAAUAAUAGUUUAAAUGAAAGGUAAAAUUAAAAGAAAAAAAACUACACCCAAAAUUAUUAUUCCAUUUAUAUAUAAGUAUAGAUUAUUUGUGACCGGACAAGAAGGAGAGUAACCAACUUUAAGCCAUUUAUGUUUGCAGGACACAUUCCUGGGGGAAAUUCUAGGUGCAGUUGUCUUGACUGAUAGGUCUUCAAAUCUGAAGCCAAAGUUUGAGAUGAAGCCCAUUAAAGUCUUAGCUAGUGGCGUUGAAUCCACUGAUGGAGAAAUGGUGGUAGAUGAGAGAGAUGGAAAGUUAGUCAGAAUAUUAAGCAAUGUGGAGGCACAGGCUUAUUAUAAUUUGUAUGCAAACAAGCUUGGCGAUCACUAUCAGUCAGCUAAGGUAGGAAGCUUUAAAGAACAGAGGAGAAGGUGGAGACAUCCUCAUCAUGAUAAGCAUAGCGAAGAGAAAAGUGCUCAAAUCCAUGGUUAAGAAUGGCCACAGCCACCACAAGUCUCAGCUAUAAACUCAUUUUAUCAACAAUUUGAAUAAACAUUCUCUUUAAACAAUUAUUUUUGAAUUUGUCAACAUGAAUGAUAACAUUGUGAAUGUUUAUAAUUCUCAUGCGUAGAACUUUUGCUUUCAUCUAAUUAUUGUCUCUUUGUUUCCUGGUUUAUUUAUGUCCCUUUCCUUAAACUACAUUUUGAUGUUUCCUGUGAACUUAUCUAUCUAUUUGAAUUUUUAAUGUCUACGCUAUUCAAGAUAAUGUCUUUACUUAAACAACUUUAGUGUGAACUUCAUUAGUAACUGAACACAGCGAACCCGUGCAAAAGCACAAGUAAGAAUAUAUAUUAAAUUCCACCAUUCAUACAACUCUCUAGUAUUCUUAUAUCACUCAAUAUUUUUUUCUUAGGAAAAUUGAAAUUUGAAUCCUAGUGCUUGAAGUACCGUGUAGAAUCUAGAAAGCAUUCAGUAAAAAAUCUAGCAUGCCUUACAGCUUUUCCUACAGUAUCCAGGAAGGUCUGAAGAUCCAACCAUAUACACAGGAUUGUUGGUGCAUUCUCCAAGGGAAGCCCAUCUCUCACAGCUUUCAUGCUGAUCGGAACAUCCUCCUCCAGCACCUACAUUCUUAUCAAAUGAGUCUACGUGAAUCCACUUUGUCGCUGACCAUUUCUCCCCUUCGAUUACUGGGCAUCCUGCAUGGAGACUGCUAGUGUCUGGUGUAGCAUUUGUGUGAAGACUGAAGAAAAGAAGCGCAUCCCCUCUACGCGGUUUCACUAUGCAAACCCGAGAAAUAAUAAGAGAAAAAACAAUAAACUAGCAUAAGAUAAGAUGACCUGCAAAAACUUUACAUUAAAGUAUUAUAAGAGGAAAACCCACAAUAAAAGUAAUUACUUAUCCAGUUGCUCACCUGCUAUUCCUUUUUUCGCACACUCAGAGAGAUCACUACUUGUUUCAGAACCUCUGCGACGUGGAGGUUCCUGUAAUUCAAAUGAAAAUCUAUAAGAUAUCAAAUUUAGCUAUUGGCGGUAAAUGUGCAAAUAAUUUCCUCUGGGAAACUAUCAGAUCCACUCUUUGAAUAGGAAGAAACCAGAUAAGAGGAUGGUAAGAAUAUCAUAUGAAGAGAAAACUGUAUCCUCCAAGACUACAAGCAGACAAAUGAACAGUGUGCAAAACAUGCAUUGUCUAUAUAUGUAUUGUACAGUCAAUCAAUAUAUACUGCCUGAAGUUUUCAUAAUCGAGAAAAAAAAAAUCUAUUACAUGUUAAUAAAAUAAAAAUAUUUUAAGUUUUUACAAAUUAAAAUUUUAUGCCACUAAAGCACCCCAAAAUAGUCUAUAAUAUGUAGGACGAUUUUUCCUUUUUAAGAUAUGAUAUAUUUGGUAUCAUUGUAAGUGUACAGUGUUAUAAAAGACUUGAUAAAAUUAGAAGAGUAUAUGAUAAAAAUUGCUACCAUUUUUUUUUGUUUUUUCAUAGGUUUCCUCCACUAAAGAUAUUCUUAUUUAUGUUGUGGGAAUUUAGUCUCUUUCCUAAAUCCAACCGUAGUCAGUGAAAUUGCUACCAAUUUACAUAUGAUAAAUAUUACUACCAAUUAGAAGAGAAUAUAUGAUAAAAAUUGCUACUAGUCUCUUAUAAUUUUUCUACAUUUAUUUUCUAUAAAAAAAUUUAGACAUUUGUAUUUGAAUUUUUUUCCUUUGUGGAGGCAAGGGCCUCCAUAUCAACAUACACAUCCGCCACUGUGUCCGAGUAUCCAGCCAAGGGGUCCCCCAGUCAUAUACACAAACUUGCAUUUCCUACAAAUUUUGUGCUCAGUUUCUAAGGAAUUUAUUUAGUAUCAUAGACAGAAUAUGAGAUAAAACUACAUACUGAUUAUGAUAUCAAGGUCAUUCAAACAAGAGAAUUAAUAUAUGGCUAAGUAUAACUGCAGUGCUUUCCAAUAAUAUAUUAAAAAAUAUUCAAGAUAAACACACAUCAAUUCCUAGUUUACUGUACAAACCUUUGCAACUGGGAACAUAGUUUCACCACCUUUAGUCACAUUAGUGAGAUACAUGAGAACAGUCACGAAGCGAUGCCCACCUUGAGCUAUGUUAACUUUAUCAGUAAAAUAAUCAUAAUGUGGGUCAUAUUUCUGUCCAUGCUCAUAUCUCAAUACUUGUAUGUCUUCCCCAUUUUCUGAAAUUCAAACACAAAUAUUACAAGACUGAUUAGAGUCUGACUGCUUGAUAAUAGGUAGGAACAAUUUUCAUAUUUUAACAGAUCAUAUCAAUCAAGCACAUGUUCAUUUUUUUUCUACAACACCGGGCUUUUAAUCCUGGAACAUGUAUAACUAAUCAAUGUGGGUAGCUUAUUUUACGUUUUCAAUUAAACUUUUCAUUUAAUUUUACCUUUUUUUAGUUUUCACCUACUGGAUGAAUAUUGCUAGUAUUCUCAUCCCGACAAACAACUGAACAUAGUCAUGAUUAUUUGAUCCAUUAUUAUAGAUUAUUCUGCCCUUUCAAAAAGAUUAUAGAGUAAUAUGCCCUUUCAUUACUAUAUUAUUCAUUCUAAAGUCAAUAAAGGAAGGAAGUUACAAAAACAGCGAAUGGGGAAAAAACCUUGAAAUUUAUUAACAUGUUUUGAGUUUAAGAAACAAGCCUUCCCAUCAGCUCACGAAAAAUCAAACAUUAUGGAUAUAGAAAUAGAAAAGCUAACCAAAUUGACAAUACCGAAACAUUGAGCAUUGACAAAAACAUAUUUUCAGGAGUAGGAGAAAAUAAAAUACAAGAACAGCAUGCAGGUUUGCAAGAUGAUGAUGUACCUUUAGGAAGAAAGGUCCAAGAUGAAAUCUUGUCCUCAAUACCAGCAACAAUAGGAUCCUAUAAAUAAAUAAUUAAAGGUGAAGAAAACGUAAAAGAAGUAUAAAUGAAAAAAUAAUUGCAUCAAAUAAGGCCUAUUUGAAUAAACAACUUAAUUAACCGCUUCUGGCAUACGAAGUUAUCAUAUACAUGCUUAAAUAUAAGAAGUUAUCAUAUAAACUAUAUGGUAUAAGCUGUUUUCAUAAACUAUCAUGUAAAAUUUAUGGAAAUAAAACUUAAAAACAUGUGAUAAGACGACUACAUAAGCUCUUCCAAGCAGUAACAGAAAGUAAAUAAGUUAAACUUAAGUUGAUCCAAACACCCUAAUUAGAAUAUGAAAAGAAAGAAAUUACCUUGUUUUUGGAAAUGAACAUGCCAGAGCUUGUUCGAACAUCACUUAACUUGCUAUCACCGGAUAGAUUAUCAGCAACGGCAGAUCUCUUCAGCUCCGAUUUCGCCUAAAUAAACAUCAGGUAGUUAGUUAGUUAGUUAGUUGCAUAAUUGAGAGCAACAGAGUUAUAAAUUCUGCAUAGAGAUUCAAAUAUAUCAAUCAACUUACUAAGGAGAUCAAGUGAUCGCAUUCCAAAUCGGUGAGAAAACCUUGGUAAACAAAAGCUCUGCAUAUCACAUAUACGGAUUUGACUUGAGUUUCAUAAAUAAACUUAGUUGGAAGAUAAUAGAAGCAAAAAGAGAGAGAGAGAGAGAGAGAGAGAGAAGAAUGUGAAAAAUGGAAAGAGACCUUGGAAUCCAUGAAAUCUGUUUGACUUUAGAAGGAUUGAUGAUGGAACUGGCUGAACCAGCGUAGGAGCUAUGAACUUCAUCCGUUUGAGAGAUCAGCACCAGAAGCAGCAAAAACCAAACCUUAAUCAUUUCAGAUUUGGAUUUGGGUUUUAAUUUGGAUUUGGAUACAAACUUGUUCCGAAUCCAAUUCACACACACCGAGCGGGACGGUUAAUUUUUUUGUUGGGUAAGGGAACUUAGACUUCCACUCAACUUCAAUUAAUGUUUUUGCAUUAACUCUUUUUAGUCCAAUAUUUCGGGAUAUGUUCUAAUCAGAUAUUUUGCUGUUUUUUUUUAAAGGGAAAACUUGGGUGCAACUACAUGAGUACUAGUAUUUGUUCUUCGGUUACAACAUGUCAUGUCUUAACAUUUCAUGCCAUGUAAACUAGUAUUUAUUUUGAGGGAAUAAUAGUUAAAAAAUUACAUGUGAUUAAGCAGAUGAUUAAUUUAGUUAUUAAUAGAUGUAGUAAAUAUCAAAAAUCAUUCACCUUCUAUGUAACUUAAUAAACUACAAAUGUACAAAUUUAUAUAUAGUUCAACUCAUAAAAAUUAUAGUUAAACACGUCAAAUUUCUUUAUUAACGAAGUUAGAUAGGCGGUUAGUAGGUUUCAAUAUAUUUGGCAUGUUCCAAGUAAAAAUAUAUGGAAACUAUAUUAACCACUCCUGGUGUAUUUUUUUAUUUAUACAUAUCUAUUAACCAUAAAUGGAACUUAAUCAAUUAUUUAUGGAAACUAUAUUAACCACUCCUGGUGUAUUUUUUUAUUUAUACACUUACAAUUUAAAAAAAAAAAAUAUUCCUAACAAGUUUUCUAAUAAAAAAAUAUUGAGGUGGUCAAUAUUUAAUUAACCAUUGUAGAAAAAAAAAUCCACCAUGAUUUAUUUUGAAUAUUAUAACCAACAAAAUACAAUAGCACCAUAGUGUUCACCAAAAAUAAAUACUUAUUAAACUACUAUUAAUUAUAUCUCAUCACAACAUCAACCAAUUAAUUUAAGAAUUUUUUUAAAAUAAUAAUAUUAAUUGUGGAUCAAUAUUUGAGUUCGACAAAUACAUUGUAUUUUUUCUUAGAGGCUGGAAAUAGGUUCCAUAAUAUAGAGAUUCUAAUGUAAACUCAUCUCAACCAUUAAAAUCAAGUACUAGUAUUACUAGUGACUCGCAUUAAAUAGCAUAGGAUGAACUAAUAAAUGGAGUAUGCAACUCUGUCAUGAAAUGUCAUUCGGUUGAUUCAAAUUUUACAGGCUUUCUUGCUAAAAAAAAAUUUAUUACACGUUAAUAAACAUGUUAAUAUACAAUGAAGAAAAAAUGGUGUUGCUACAAGGAGUUGGAGCACAACGUCAAUGGACAUUGCGUGUGAUCAAUCCCUCAAAUAUAGUGUACAAGUCCUUGUUUUCAGGCCCAAAAAUUUCAUCUGCUUUAUGUAGAGUCACCUGCAAUUUUGCACGCACAGAGCCAAGUGUCUAUUAACUGAAAAUACGUGGUUGGUGGGAGAGGAUCAGAGGUAACAAGGCAGAGACUGGAUGAAUUACCUCUUUUGUUUGUUUAUGGGAAUUUAGCUCCUUAACAUUUGCCAAGAAUGCACCAAAUUGCUCGUAAGACAAGCGGUUCCUAAUGAUAACAACUGUGAGAUAAAAUCGAGGACAAUGACCUAACUGAUCUAAUUUGACCAAAAAAGAGCAACUCACAGUAACAUGUAAAAGAUUAAUCGAACUUGGUUCCUCUACAGUUGUUGGUUCCUCUACAACUGCAGUAUAUGGCUGCAAUGCUGUAAGUGCAACAUCAUACUGCAGCUGUAGAGGAUCCAAUUUUAUUAUGAAAACUACAUCAUGCAUAUGGACAGUGUUUAUGUCUCAAAUGAAAUCUACUGAUGUUUCUGUUGGUGGAACUUCGAGUUUCUGAACUUUAUAAAGUUCGAAGACAAGGGUCCUCACCUGACUUGGCGAAAGAACUCCUUCCCAUCCACUCGUGCUCGUCCUGUAACAUAUAAGUUGAGGGAGAAAAAUUAAAAUGAGAGAACUAGUCAAACCUAAAUAAAACAUUCUUCAUAUGGCUGCAAUUUUAUAAAUAUUAAGCACCUUAUUCUUCAUAAGGAUCCAAUAUCCAAGAAAAUAAUCCAAACAGGGUAACCUAAUGAAAACCUAGAUGAAGUCUUUUUGCACAAUGCAAUGGAUAACAGAGUUGGAAGAACUCACCAGCUUGUGAUCCUGUUACUGGGUCAGAACUUGAUAUUGAACCGUGGCCUAAGGUCAUCGAGGAAAACACGGAAGACCUAUCAUCAUGCAUGCCUCUUGAGGUUGAAAAGGAAAUGGAAUGUCGCCUUGGAGACAUGGGUCUAGAUGUUCUCGUUGGAGAUACUGAUGCAGAAAGACUAGGAGGGGAACCAGGGGGGGUAAUCCGAGGUGUGGUACUUUGCGAUGCUAUGAGUAUAUUAUACGGCACUCUAGCUCUUAUGGCUGCAAUAUUGGAAUAGAAAAAGCAAGGUCAGGAUACACAUCAAAAUUAUAGUUAUUCAGUUUUCCGCAAUAGCAAAAAAGAGACACCUUAUUGUCUUUUAAGGUAAUCCAAACCAAACUGGUUGUAUACCCAUUUGCCUCAUAAAUGAUAGCACGUAGUAGUAGUACAUACCAUCGGAUUCUUGAUCCUCGGCAAAAGAAUUUCCACUAUCAGAGACAGAAACAGAAACACGGGGCAUUGAAGAAGAUAUAGACGGUGGCAAUGAAGCGUCGUUAUCUGCAAUAAAAUGAGAACUUCUCAGAACUAGAAACGAAAAAGUACAGCUGAAGGAGCUCAGUUUGAAUGGUUUGUUAGCAGGGGCAGGAAAGAGAGAAAUAUGGAUUAUCAUCAUUAUUAUGAUUUUAAACCAACGGAAACAUAACAUGUGCAAGUGCAGACAUUCAAAUGGUAAGAUGUUGAAUGCACAUUAAAAGGACAGUUUCCUGAAGUGCACCCCAAAUCUUUUAUAUAGUUCUCUUGAUAAGGAAAUGAGCUUGUGACUUGUGAGAAUUUAAAGGUACUAUAUUUGCAUAAAUGAAUUAAAUUAAGCAAAGGGCCUAAAUGAGAGAGGCAGAGAGCAAUUUACAACAUGUUGAAAGUACCUCCAGAUUGAGACGAAGAACUCAUACUCGUUUGACUCUGUAUUUUAGCAACAAUGUCUGGAGCUUCUCCCUGUGCCAAAUACCGGUAAAAAUUCAAAAGUUAAAUAAGGAAAUACCCUUGAAACAAAUAGCAUAAGCUAAUACUAUUAAAAGCAAUUCAUACAUGAUAAGCAGCAUAAUCCAGAAUACCAAACUCUCUUCAUUAAACCAAUCCAAGACUAAAAUAAUAAGCAAAACAGAACUUCUUAAUCACAGACAGCAGCAUUAAAUAACAAUAAUAUUAAGGGUCUUGCUAACACGUGCCUAUGCCCUUAGGAUACUCGUUAACCUUUUCCAUAAUAAUAGCAACUUACAUAAUUAUCACUAUCCUCCUGAAGUGAUUGCAUAAGCGUCCUUCUGAAAACCUCCAACUGCGUACAUUUACACCAACAAGUUCACGUAAGUCCAAGAAUCAUCCACAUUCCAUAUAUAAUAAGUCCUUACUAACGAAACAAUGCAUAUAAACCGUUCCCUUCAAAACCUUACUCAAAUUAUUACUACUACUAUUUUAGAUAAAAGUCAUGGAUAACAGAAAGUAAAAUAGAAACUGCAUUGAUAAUUAUAAUGUUGAUUACAUCAACCAGUAUAAUUAGGUUUAUAUAACCAAUAAGAACAACUGAUUUUUAACUGUUAUAUUUGUAACUAACUAAUGAAACUAAUUUGUAACUAACUUUUACAUCUCUAGUACAAAUCACCCUAAACCAAUAAUAAAAAUAUCAGUUUCUCAUUUCACAAUCAUUACCAUUUUUCCUAAAAACACUACUGUGAGUAAGUAACCCCAAUGUAAAUGAAAUUAAAAUUACCAAACCAAGUUAAUUUAUUGAAAGACAGAAAAAAAAACCUAUAAAAAAAGGGCUGAAAUAAAAAUAAGUAUUUUAUUCUCAAUAAUAAUAACAGUAAUAAAGAUUAUUUUUUACUAAAAAAAAUAAAUAAUAUAAUUAUAAUAAUAAUAAUAGUAAUAAUAAUAAUAAUAAUAAUAAUAAUAAUAAUAAAGAAAUCCUAGUAAAACGGACCUUGGAGACAUCUCGAUUGAGCUUUCUGACGGUGUUGGAAAGUGAAGCAUUCUCCUUAAGCAAGCUCUCCUAUAGUAUCAAGCUCAAGCACCGAAAUUAAAUAAAUAAAUAAAUAGUACGAAAGAGAAAGAGUUAAAUUUGAGUUAGUUGGGACCUUAAAUUGUUCGGCGCGGACGAGGUUAUCGGCGGUUACGGAGAGGGAGGUAUCGAGGGAUUCAAGCUGAGACUGAAGUUCUUCGAUGAGUCUAUCUUUCUUGGCGAUCUUGGCGCGAAGUUCCGACGACUCUAAUUCAAGGGCGUUUACACGUGUCAUUAAAGCAAUUGAGGUGAUCUUGCGUGCUAAAUCGAGUUGCUCGAACGGAUCUGACGGUAGCACUUGGAUGACAUCUUCGGGAAGACCGAACUUCGACCCACCCGAUUCCGCCGUCAUCGUCUGAUCUUUGUUUUCCUCCUCUUUCUUUUUUUUUUUUUUACGGUUUAUUUUAUUUAAAAAAUAACUAUUUCACAUUAUUUUCGUUUUUUUUUUUGUACAAGUUGAUUAUGAUUUUGGAGACAUCUCGAUUGAGCUUUCUGACGGUGUUGGAAAGUGAAGCAUUCUCCUUAAGCAAGCUCUCCUAUAGUAUCAAGCUCAAGCACCGAAAUUAAAUAAAUAAAUAAAUAGUACGAAAGAGAAAGAGUUAAAUUUGAGUUAGUUGGGACCUUAAAUUGUUCGGCGCGGACGAGGUUAUCGGCGGUUACGGAGAGGGAGGUAUCGAGGGAUUCAAGCUGAGACUGAAGUUCUUCGAUGAGUCUAUCUUUCUUGGCGAUCUUGGCGCGAAGUUCCGACGACUCUAAUUCAAGGGCGUUUACACGUGUCAUUAAAGCAAUUGAGGUGAUCUUGCGUGCUAAAUCGAGUUGCUCGAACGGAUCUGACGGUAGCACUUGGAUGACAUCUUCGGGAAGACCGAACUUCGACCCACCCGAUUCCGCCGUCAUCGUCUGAUCUUUGUUUUCCUCCUCUUUCUUUUUUUUUUUUUUACGGUUUAUUUUAUUUAAAAAAUAACUAUUUCACAUUAUUUUCGUUUUUUUUUUUGUACAAGUUGAUUAUGAUUUUUUCUACGAAUUUCUGAACUGUGAAUACGAGAGCGUUGUUCUGUUAUUCAAUUGGUUGUAGACACCGCAGACUGGGGUAUAGUAUUAAAUUAUUUAAUUUGAUUCCAAAACGUGUGGCUUGGCAAUAAUGAAUUGCCUCAAAAUAAUAUAUUGAAAUUGGAUAAAACAAAUUUGACAGAAAACAAGGGAAAAUAGAACUCCGAGAAAAAACAAAAUACCUGUGGUCAUUGACCAACGGAUUAAGUACUCUUAAAAAAUACUAUAAAUUAAGUACCAUUAUGAUGUUGCUCACUUUUUCAUAUUUAGUUUACUACAAAUCCAUUUAAAAGUACCCCCAUUUUUUAAUUCAUAAAUUAUUUUUUAAAACGUUUUUAAAUCGUUCUCCAUUAUAAAAUAUAAAUAAUUGUUACCAUUUUCUCUUUUAUUUAAUGUUAUAUCUAAAUCACGAAAUAUCUAACCUAUCAUCAUUUAUUUCAGAUAUUUUAUCAAUAAAUAAAAGAUGAAUUGUUAGUAUGAGAACAAUAUUACUGUUGUCAAAAGUUAUAUUGUCAAAUGUGAGGAAGCCAACAAAUUUCCUUAUUUUUGCUAUAAAAUUAAUCGAAUAUUGAGAUAAGAGUAAAAUAUAAAAUAUGAUGAUUUAUUUCAUCUCUUAAAUGUACUCAACCAACUUUCUCAAGUAGUGUGCAUAAAAAAAAAAAAAAAUGGCGUUCAUCAAAUGUUUGUUGUUUGAAUAUAACACACAAAAAUUAUCAAUUUAUUUUUAUUAAAUAUUAAUAUCUUUACUUUUGAUAUCUUUAGAAAAUAAUAUUUCUUUUAGACUCAAUUAUAAGAAAAAAAUUGUAUCAAACAUAAACAAAUAUCCAACUUAUGUUGCUAUAUUUAAUAUUGUUAUUCCAAAAAUAUUGUUAGUAUGUGUUUAGAUGAGAUAAUAUUUUGAGGGAAAGUAAAUUUUUUAGGAAAUUCAAAUACUUCAAUGUAUAUUAUGGAUGAUAAAUUUUAAGAAUUUUAAAAUGAAAGAAUUUUAUGAGGUAUUUUGUUAAAAAUAAAUUUCAAAUAUCACCUAAAAUCUAAAAAUUUCAAAAUUCCACAUCAAAUGGUUCUAUAAUUUUUAAAAAUUUAUAAUUUUGAUCCUAUAUGAUUUAAAUUUGUAUAUUAAUCCUUAUAUUUUUUUUGCAUAUGGGUCCCUAAAAAUUGGCAAAAUAGUUCCCAAAUUUUUCAAAUAUUUCAGUUUUUGUCCAAGUUUAAUUUUAAUUUUAAUUUUACAUAAAAACUUUUAAAAUUUAGAAAAAUGGUUAUAUUUUAAAAGAAUAAUUCAUUUAUCCAAAUAAUCAAAUUUAUAAAUUAAAGAAAUUCAAUUAAAGCAUUUGAAUUGUCUAAAAUCAUAAUUUUUCUAGAAUUUUCAAUUAUCUCAUCCAAACACAAUAAAUUUUUUUUUUAAGUUGUGAGGAUAUAAAAAUUAUAAUUAUACAUAAAAAAAACAAUUAUAAUUGGGGGUAAUCAAGUUAGUAAAUUUUUUAUCGUAAAAAAAAGUUAGUAAAUUUUUUUCUUUUUUUUUAAAUCAAGAAAAUCAAAUGUUAACUAUUCUUUUUUUUUUUACAAUUUUUAAUUAUUUUCUUUAAUAAAUAUAAAAAUAAGUAUUUUGCUUACAAAUAAGUUCAAAGAAAGUAUUAGUUAUUAAUUAUAGGACAUAAUUGAAUAAAAUAUUCAAUCUGCCCUCUGAAUAUAAGUAACAAGCAAAAAUUAUUUUUGUUGUCAUAAAUAUAAAACAAAAGUUAUCAACAAGAGUUGGGUUUAAUGGAAGGUGAUAGACUUCUAUAAUGUGAUAAAGUUGAAUUUCAAUUUUUACUAAAAUAGAUAUGUGUUUGACGCGUCUCGAAUACGAUAUCUAAAAUAAAGAAAAUUUAUUAAAAAAUAAAAAUAAUUUAUAAAAUAAAAGAUAAUUAAUUAUAACUAAAGUUUAUUUUUAUGGAACAAAUUCUUAUUACAGUUAAUUUAGAUCAUACAAUUAACUUUUGUAUUGCUUUGAAUAAAUUAGAUGAGAUCAACUACUAUUUUAAAAGACAUGACAUAGUUUAUUAGGAUUAAGAUUCGAGGUGCAAGAGUUUUAAGAGUCUCUACACCUAUUUUUUCUCUUUAUUUUUUCUCUUUAACAGCUAUAAAAUUUGUUGUAAACGUGACAUUGAAGCAUGUAAUCCAAAAUAAAAACGUUUUAAAUGUUUUUAUAUUUUUCUAUUUUACCAAAUAUUAAUUUUUAGCCUCUUAUUUUUAAAAUCAAGCUUUUUAUCUUCUAUUUUAUCAUUUGUAGUAUAUACUUUGCUCCCCGUUAUUUUUUUAUAAUGUUGUAUCUUCAUUAAUAAUGUGAUAGUAAUGCAUAUCACACAAUUUAAUUUGAUAAAAUUGAAUUUAUAUCAUUAAUCAAUAUUUAUUUUAUUAUUUUUUAUUUAAUAAAAUUUUAUGGACACAUUUGUAGCAACAAUACGAACAAAGAUUACCAAGAAUACAAGAAAAUUGCAAAGAAAAUUUAAUUGUGUCACAUAAUAUUUUUUAUAAUAAAAAAAGUUAAAGAAAUAGUACUUAAUCUAAAACAUAAAUACUUUUGAAUUCAUUGAACACUUACAAAAUCAUGACCAGAUAACUGGGGUUAGUUGUGUUACAUCAUUGAACAAAAUCUCAAAAUAUGGGGCCAAAAGCUCCAUUUUAGAAAUAAGAGAAUUAUCUUAGACAUCGUCCAAUGGAGAAAGAAAAGUAGAUAUGAAAAUUAGAGAAAAUUAGAGAAGGCACAGUAAAAGCAGAUGGAAUCCAAAUCUAAUACAUGUAUAAUAUUCUUUUUAUAACAACACUAAAUUAUUUCAGUUUACAAUUUUCAAAGUUUUAGCUAAAUGUGUAUUUUUUAUCAAGUGUAUGAUAAUUUUUAUGGUAUAUGAAUUAAUUUGAAAUGUAUCGGUCUGAUUUUUAAAUUAAUAGUUAAAUAUUUUUUUAGGAAAUAAUUAUUUCUUAUUAUUUAUGUGAUUAAAAUAACUAAAUAUUAUUUAUUAAAAAGAUACUUUAAAUAAAAUCCUUAUUUUAUUUUAUUUUAUUUUAUAAUCACAAGUUCAUUGUUCGUGUUAGCCACUAACUCCAUAACAAUCAUUUCAUAAAAUACGGUGAGAUGUAUAAUAUGAGUUGGGUCAACUGACCAUAUAAAUUUGUAUGAGGUUGUUUAUCCGCCAUUCGUAGUUGCUCACCCAUCUUAAAAUAUAGUAUUGGAAGUUUUGAUCUAGUAGUGUAUUUUAUUAUACAGCUACAAAAAUUAGCAAACAUAAAAGGCAUAAUGAACGAUCAUCAUUUUCUAUUAGGGUUAAUUGGUCUGGAACUAGAAAGAAAAUGUUGAUUUUGACUUUCUUUUUUACAAUGGGUCGGUCAAUUGCCCCAUUAUAGAUUUUGUAUAUUAUUAAAACAAAUGCAUAAACUACACUAAAAAAGUAAUGUGUAAUAAAAAAGAUAUAUAAAUAAAAUAUAUUAAUUAUAAUAACAUUACUAUAGUUGUUUGGUUCGCAUCUCAAGUGUUGAUUUUGAGUAAUGUAAAAUUAAUACUUGAACUAAUUAAUAAAUAUUGAACUUGAUUUGUUUCGUAUACUUUAGAUAUGAAAAAGUGAAUCAAUAUAAAUUGUUCGAAUUUAUUUAUUUUUGUUAAUUGAAUUAUUGAUUUAAUUCUUAUACCAUUAACAACAGCAGUAGGGAUUAGGAAUUAGAAAGAAAGGUGAAGGAGAAAUGCAAGAAAGAUAAAUAAGUGGAAUCUGCCACUUUUUAUUAUCUAUUUAAAGUAGAGAAGAAAAAAAAGAAAAAUGUUACUCAACAUUUCUCAUGAUAAUCAUCACAAUUUUAAAAAUUAUUGACUAAAAAAUAUUAUCACUUUUAGUUUUCAAUAUAAUUUUAAAUAUUUUUUUCUUCAAUUAUAUCCUAUAAUUAAUACUCCCUCUGACCACUUUAUUAAAAAAAUUAGUUAGAUAUAAUUAAUUUUCUAUAUUUUGUAUUAAAAAUAAUUUAAAUUUAUUAAAUUUUAAAUAUUUUUUUUAAUUAAAGUGAGGAUAUAUUAUAAAUACUAACAUUAAAUGAGGUAUUAUGUAUUAUGUAUAAUAAUGUUCGGAUGAAGUAUUGUGUAUCAAAAUGUUUUUUUACUUAUAAGUUAUAAGAAUGAUUAAAAUUUGAUGUCACUUUUUUACUUAUAAUAAUAAUGAUCCGAUGAAGUAUUAUAUAUUACAUUUAAAUUUUAAUAUUUAUGAUAAUCAAAAUACGCCCACACCCACGUUAAUAAUAGUAAUCAACUGAAGUCAUAAUUCAAUUAAUUGAAUUUAUCAAUUUUUCUUAAAUUGGGUUAAAAUGGUCAACCACAAUAGUUAUUUUAGAAUUUAGGAAUAUUUUAUUACUAAUUUAUCAUUUAUGUCAAUUUUACUCUUAAAUAAAAACAAAAAUAGAAAAACUAAAUUGAUGUAUUUAAUUUAAAUUAAAUACAUUAAUUUUAUUUAAUAUACUAUUAUUUAGAUUUUAGAUUUAAGAGAAUAAUAAAUAUUUAUCUUUUCUUUAAAUUUUUUAAUCUUUCUCUUAUAUAGAACAGUAUCUCAAUUAUCUUUCAAACAUAAUAGUGUUUGUAUCUUUUCCAUUUCUUUAUCCUGUGUUUGGAAUCAAUGAGUGUGCAAAGAAAGAAAACAUGAUUUUCUUAAAAUUUUCUACCUUUUGGGCAAAAUUGAUCACUAAGAGCGAACAAAAGUUUUCCAUUUCACAAUGCAAAAACUUCUAUAUGUCAUUUGGGAAGAAAGGAUUGAAAAGAGUUGAUAUUUAAUCAAAAUAACACUUUUGCUCUAAUAAAUAUUUACAGUUUCGGUACAUAAUCGUGUGAUGCGUUUGUGUUGAAAUUGAUUUAAUAUGUACAUUAAAUAAUAAUAUUUUUCUUUAACUAAUAAACAUUUUCUUUCAUUUUAUUAAGUAAAAAAAAAACCAUUUAAAACAUUUUACUUUCAUUUUAUUGAUAAAAUAAUUAUUGCUAAUUUAUUAAUAUUAGUAUUUAUUUUAAAAUUGUAAUGAUUUUUUUAUUCUCAUUAAUAUUUAUUAAAAAAUGCAUUUAUCUUAGACAUUGUUAUUUUCUUUUUUAUGUUUUUAUUUCCUUCAUCACAUCUUAUUUUUACCUAGAAAUAUUUAUGUAAUUUUUAAUACAUAUUAUUUAUUUCCUUUCAUUCUUCUCUCUUAAACCAAACUAUUAAAUUAAUGAUCUCAUAUUCUAUUCAUUUUCUUCUAACUUUCAUUUACACACCAAACAAAGCAGUAAUGUCACUUUCUUCUCCAUACCGAUCACAAAGAAUUACCUCCCAAAUCAGCUACCUCCCGAAGCAGAUGGGAAACUAAAUGAGUUGGUUUGGUUCGGUAGCAAAAAAAAUCAGAGGUCCGAAGCAAGAGUGGGUCCCUGAUGACCCCAGCUAAACAAACAGCGACCCAAUCUUGUCAGCCAACAACAGUAUCUAUCUCUUCUCGUGAGUCGUGACGCGUCAUUUUGGUCCACUAUGGCAACAAGGACGGUGAUUUAUUUUAUCAUUCCCCACCAACUAUAUAUCCCCCCUAAUACCAAUUUCUAAUUCCACCUCUGUAUAUUAUUUCACUUUCACACACCCACCCCCAACCCAUUUUCAUUUUUCUAACAUUUAUUUAAAUUAAAUAAUCUCCUCUCUUCUCUUCAUCUUUCUCUUCUUCUUACAAAGCUACCACCGUUUUUUGUUUUUACACAGCUUUACUUUUGACUAUUUCAUUACCCAAACCACCAUGGCAACUCAGGUUUUGAACCCUCACGACUAUUUCAUCAUACCUCAACCACCCUCCUUCUCCCGCCGCUGCAACUAUUACGGCUACAACAACCGUACCACGACCUCCAGGUCUCACCGGAAACAUGUUGCACGACCAGACCUGAGAAAACGGAACGAUAAGAGUUCCUUCCAACUAGAGACAGCGUCGGUCUCGAAGAGAUCCAGCGCCGAUGAUUCAGCGACUGGGAAGAGCAGCAGCUCGCCUGUGGAGAAGGUGACGAUUCUCCGGAGAGGCCAGUCGCUGGAUUCGUCGUUGGUAGCGGCGAAGAAUGACAUGUACGCUGGAUCUGCGUUCGCGAUGUCUCCGUCACCAAGCGCGCUUCCUCUGCCGUCUUUUAUGACAAAGAAGCAGUCGCUAGAGACGUUUGACGACUCCGCAACGCGAGAUCUGAGGCGUUUGCUCCGAAUUGAUUGACGUACAACAAGUUUGGUUCGGGUCGGGUCAAACCCGAAUAACAAUCCAUAUGUAGUUCCGCUUCCACCUCUUUCUCUCUUGUAGAAUCGUUUUCUCUCUCCCUCACUGGACUCCGUUACCGUAAAUCAGCUUUUAGUUUCAACUUCUGACCCGAUCGUGAUUUUUUUAAACGAAAAGGUUAGAUCUGAAAUUGGGGGUGAUUUGUUGUCUAAAUGGUUUCGAGUAGCAUAGAGCCAUGUUGUGCAGUUCUGCUUCAUUUUGUAAAACUUAUUAAAUGGUUAAAGUAUAAAUUAGGGUUGCUGUAAUAUCAGUUUAAAGUUAAUUCAUAAAAUUAUCCGCCGUGUUGGUGGUUGAUGCGUAUAUUACGAUGUUUGUCCUUGACUGUGUUAACUGUGUCACUGUAAUGGGAAAUUGUGAAUGGGAAACACUUGAUGCUUUUUGUUAUUCUUUUGUGCGAGCUCGUUCUACGUUCAAGUAUUUCUUUUCUUCUACUUUAAGAUUAAGAUUUAAUUUCUCCCUUGUUUAUAACCUAUUUGAGAAUUUUUAAAUAAAAAGCUGUAAAGAGAUGUGUCAAUUAAUUUAAUCAGGUCAUUCUAUAAAAAUCAUUUUUUCAGAUCAUUAUCCACCUAAUAAUAUAUUAAUAUGUACAUAUUUUUAUCAAUGAAAUUAUUUAUUAAAUAUUUUCAAAUUAAAUAUAAUUCCCUUAUGUCUUAAUUUAAAUCCCCAAUUAAAACUUCCAACUUCUCUAUGGUCAAUGAAAAAUAUUGAAUAGUAUUAAGUAGAUAAUGAUGUAUAAAAUUGAUUUUUAUGCCACUGUUCAAACAUUGACUAACGGGCAACUAACUGAGAUAUAAAACAAAAUUUAAUUAAAAACUUUAUAUUAGUUAUGGAACUUGAUUACAAAAGUUUUUAAUUUAGAGUCCUAUUUAAAAAUUUUCAAAUUAUUUGAAGAGAUGCAAGUAAUUAAACCUUACCAUAACAUUUAACUAAUAAAACAAUGAGACAAAUUCUGCGCGGACUUCCAAUUCCAGGUACUUGAAAAUUGUUAAAAAAACUUUUAACAACAAUCCUGUUACAUAGAGAAGAGUUUAUGGUCUCCUUCAUUUUAUUUGACAGGAAAUAGUCCCCUUGAUUCAUUUUCAUAGAUCCCAAAAUGAUUUGAUUGGUAUCCAGAUGGUUAUAUGAUAUUUUUGUGCCAUAUUUUAUUAUUAAAAGAUUGACGAUUGUUUAAUAAAAAUAAAUGAAAAAUAGAUGAGUCUCUCACAUCUAAACUCUCGUAAAAAAUUGAAGUAUUGGUCUCCGAUGAAUUAUAUGUUAUACUUGUGCAUCAAAAUAUUCACUUUAGUUUCUUUUAGAAGGUAACUCAUCAUAAGUUUAAUGUAACUUUUUGAUUGAAUUUGCUAUCUAGUUUUUGAAUUUGUAACUAUCAAUCAAUUUCGCCUUUGAAUUUUUUGAAAUAGUGAAACCGUCUCUUAAUUUACCUCACAUUUAUCAAUUAAGUCCCUCCUUCAAAUUUAGAUAUUCGAAAAGUUGACACACACUUAAAUACUAAUUAAUAUGACCGUUCGCAUCACAUUUUACAUAUAUAGGAGUAAAUUUAAUAUUGAAAUUUGAGAUCCUUCUAAAAUCUAAAGAAUUCAUAAAAAACACAUAUUUUCAAAAAAACCUAGAAAUUCAUGAAAAUUCAUCCUAUCAUCUUGCUUGGUAAAUAAAAUGAACCGCAAGGAAGUAACACUAUAAUACUACAUGAUAAAAUGAACAGCAAAUAAAUGAACCGCAAAUAAAUGAACAAGGACCAUGCAGAUUUUGGAGUAAUAUUACAUCUAGACUCAAUAAUUGCAUAUAUAUAUAAUAAUAGUAAUUAAUUGCAUUUAAUUUUCUUGAGUCCAGAAAAAAUGUCUGUUAAUAGUUAAUGAUAAUUUUUUUAAAGUUAAACAUUUAUUUAUAUAUUAUACUUAUUUUAAACAUAUAAAUAUAUCAAAUUGUUUUUUUAUACUAUAACUGAAUAUGACAUGACAGUUGACAAUAUUAAUUUUCGCAUAUAUAAAAUGGACUGAACAAAUUACGUAAACAACAAAUUAAACCUCAUGUCCCCAUAUAUAAAAGAAAUUAUAAAUUUAAUUAAAAGAAAAUGACGCAAAUUAUUUUAAAUGGAAGAACAUAUCUAUUGUGUUCAUGGUAUAAAACUUAAAUGUUAGUCUAUGUACUUAUACAAAAAUAGUCAUAAGUAAGAAUUACGGCAAGGAAUCGAGGUACAAAGCACUCUAAAUAAUCGGUCAUGGAGGGAGUGUAAUAGUUCAGAACGAAUUAUAUUUAUUACAUCGCUAUUUUUAUUUUUAUUUUAAUAUAGUGAGUGCUUGAAACAUUUUUCUAAUAAAAAACAUGAGAUGAGUUAUGUAACUAGACAAGACUCAAUAUAUUCUCAUUUAUUUCAAAUUAAUUAGUAUAUUGAUAACUUUUUUAUAAAAAAAUAAUCAAGAAAGAGUUCAAAAAUAUCAUUUGAUAAAUCAAAACAUCUCAACUAUAUUGACAUAUAUGACUUAUAUCUUUUAAAAUAUUAUUAAAAUAAGCAUAAAGAUACAAAAGAACUUAGGGAAACUAGACAAAAUCCAAACCAUAAUAAUCAAAGGAUAAAACUUAAUAAAAACUUUGUCAGAAAAAUCUAAAGGGAUAAAACGUGACAAGAGAAAAAGAGUACAAAGCAAAUAACAACAAAAGAAGAAUCCUUGACAAAUAUCAACAUCAAUUAAUAUGAAUUUAGUAAACCCCAAUAUAUUAUAAUUCAAAGAAUCUAAAAUGCAUAGUGGAGUAGAAACCAUCCAAAUCAAGUCAUUUUGUUGAAGGCCAAUAGAAGCAAUUUUAUCUGUAUAGUGGUUGUCCACUCUAAAAUUAUGAGAAAUGUAAAACUGCAUGUUCUUUGUAAGCUCCAUACAAUUCAACCAUCUAAUCCUUAGAUGCCAAAGAAUAAUACUAGAACUUUUGAAAUCCAUAAUAACUAGUUGAGAGCCAACCUCUAACCAAAGCCUAUUCCAAUUCUUCUUAUAACUAUCUUAAUAGCAUUCACCAACCCAUGUAACUCAACUUUGAAAGCAGUAGCGAUAUUCAAAUUGCCAACAAAUCCACCUAAAAAAUUAACAUUUGAGUCCCUCCACAAGCUUCAAGGCCUAAAAAACCAUUAUCAGUUACCAGUACCAUAUAUAUUACACUUGGCUUUGUUAAGGAUGGGGACUACUAUAAGUCUAUAACACUUCCUUAAUGCAAGGAGCAUUAGGCACAUGAACUUAAAUAAAGCUCACAAAUCCAAGAUUUAUUACAAAUCUCAAUCACAAUAUGCACAUUAUUAAUGUCCACCUGGAUAUAAAAAAUAUAAGUAAUCAAAUACUAAAGGUGCCCUGCAAAAUCACUUUCAAAAAACAAAUGCUUGUUAGAUUCUUCAUGCUUGUGGCACAAGCUACACAUGGAGACCAUGUUGCAACUUCGAGCCCUUAAAUUAUCAUCAGUAGGAACUUUGUUGUGGAACAACCUCCAAACCAAAAGAGAUUUUGAAGGAGGAAUAGAUGGAUUUAAAAUAAUCUUGGCCUAAUGUUGCUCAUUCAAGGGAGACUUUUGAAACAUGUAAGCAUCCUUAAAGUACAUUUCUCCAUUGGUGGAGUUCUUCCAAAUAAACUUGUCCUCAAUAAAGAAUUUUUAAAUGUGUACAUUUUGCAAAAAUAGAUAAAAACUCAGUGUUACUAUGCAAAAAAUAGUGAAGGAAUAAGAGAGAUAAACCACUUAUAAUCAAUAAUAAAUUUUUUUACCUUAGCAUUAAGCAGAUAAUGCCUUUCCUCGGGAAUACUGAAAAGAUUAGUCAUAACUACAUUGGGCCAUUUAUCAUGCCACAAAUUAAUGUGCUCACCAUUGCCCAUGCUCCUUGGUAAUGAAAAACUCAGUGCUUCAAACCAGUCCAAAUAGUAGAAAAAAUAUGACAAAAAUUAGAUCCUUUAUAUCUCAACACUUCAACCCUUAGAAGAAUGACCCAUUGGUAAUUUGAAGUUAUCAGCUCCCAACAUAGCUUGAGGGUGGCAGCCUCAUUGAUGUCCCCUUAUAUAUCUCAACCCAAAGCCUCAUCCUUGGUAGAAGUGCACACCUUAAGACAAACUACAGUAAUCAUCUUUUUUUUUUUUUAUGGUCAAUGUCACCAGACCACACAAAGUUUCUAAUCCAUCCCUCAAUGACAUUGAUAAGAGAUAUUGGGCAAUAAUAAAUAAAAAAGCUAUAGAUAAGCAUAUUAUGAAAAAGAAAGUAAACAAGCCUUCCAAGCUGCCAAUUUGACUUUGAUUAUUUUAAAACAAGCAUAAGGUGCACAACUUUUGGCUUAUAUUUAAAGAUAUGAAUAUGUGUUAUUUGGACACAAAAAUCCGACUCUGUAUAUACCACACACAAAUUUGGUGACAUCGAACAUCUAAAGGAGAGAGAAAAAACAUUAAAAAAGAAAAAAUCAAAACCAUAUAUAAUUAUAUAAGGAUGUCAAAAAAUCCGUCAAAAUAUAUUUUUCAUAUGAUAGUAGUAGAUACAACUAGUUACGUAUAAAAUAAAAUUAUUAUAAACACAACCAUCCAUAUUUCCUCUUUAUGUAUUAGGUCUUUCUUUUUCUGUCUUCUAGCUUUUAGUAGUUGGCAAGUAAUCAUUUAGGACUUAAGUAAUCAUUUAGGACUUAUUCAACAUGCAUGGUGGCACAGUACAUUAAACAAUAGUGCAAAUGGCCUUGCCCACUCAUUUGGCUAUUUUCAUUUAUAUCUUUAUUUGUAUUUGUCUCGAGCAAUGAUGUUUCAUCUGCAUCUCUACACCACUUGUGCUUCAGAGUACUUUCUCUAAUAUCAAAUAUAAAAGAAAUUUCUAUGGUACUUUUUUUUUUUUAAAGUGUAUUGAUAUUUUUAUUUUUUUAAUUAAUAAUUUGUUUUAUAUUUUUAUAUCAAUAUAUAUUAAGUUGAUCAAAUUAUUUAUAUCAAUAUAUAUAUAUAUAUAUAUAUAUAUAUGUAUAUAUUUUUAAUUUAAUUACUAUAAAUUUAAGUUUUCUUUUUUAUUUUAUUUUAAUUAAAAUUAAAACAUCGUUCUUUUCCGCCAUGCUUUCACUCUCUAUCAUUUUUCCACCAUCACUAGAAGAUCCCUCAUCUGUCUCACUCUCAUCUCGCUCGCGUUUGCGUCAUUGUCGUCUUGUGCCGUCGACCACUAAUCGCCGUCGUCGUUACCAGACCGUCUUUGAUUAUUAAUGAACUACAACAAAAAGAUAGACGAUGCAAAAUGAAGGAGAAAGAUUGUAAAGAACCGCGAAGGGAGACGACAAAGAACGGCAAAAAGACAGUGUGGGAUAAAACAAAAAUAUAAAAAUUCAAAAUUUGGUGGUGUUAAAUUUAAAAUAUAAUCAAACUUAUCGUAUACGAUACUCAUUAGAAUAUUAGUAAUUUAAUUUAAUAAUAUCAAAAUAUAUUAGUUUUUAAUUCUACCAUAAAAAUCACUUAAAAUAAAUAGAUCUAUUUAAUUUAAAUUUCAAAUUAAAUAUAUCAAUUUUUUUUCUUCUUAUCUUUUUCUUUUUAUAUUUGGGAUCCAAAAAUAAUCUAUUAAUACAAAUAUAUAUUUGUCUGCUUAUUAAAAAAAUAGUGCAAAUGGGUGUAAGGGAAAGUAAUUUUUUUUAAGAUAGUUGAAAUAUAAAUUUCGAAAGUCACCCUUAAUUAGCUGUCUGAAUUGAAUAAUCAAACUUAAUUAGACUUAAAUCGUAGUCCAAAAUUAGGAGUCGUCUAAGACAAAGUCUAUCCUUAUCUCUGUAAUUCCUUUACUAUAAAAUCAACAAUCACUCACAUAACAGAAAAAACACAAACAAGCAAAACAAAAACUAAAGCUAGAUUAUUAAGAUGGAUACAAAAAAUGAAAAUGAAACCACUCCUUCACGUUCACCCUUAUUAAACACAAACACAGAAACCACAACACCAACACAAACACCACAACCAACAACAACAAGUACCACACAAAAAAGUGGUACAGAUAGCAUUGGAAGCCUCAUAAAACUACUCCCAACAGGGACAGUUUUCUUGUUCCAAUUCCUAAACCCCGUUGUUACAAACAGUGGUCACUGCAAAACCAGCAACAAGUACCUAAGUUCAAUUCUUCUUGCAAUAUGCGGUUUCAAUUGCAUCUUUUCCACUUUCACAGAUAGCUACACAGGUACUGAUAACAAAAGACACUAUGGACUUGUAACACCCAAAGGAUUAUGGCCUUCAGAGGCUUCGAAUUCAAUCGAUUUAUCGAAGUAUAAGCUUAAAGUUAGUGACUUUGUUCAUGCUGUUCUAUCAUGGCUUAUUUUUGCAGUGUUGGGUCUUCUUGAUACAAACACUGUGCUAUGUUUUUACCCUUCUUUUAUGAAAACUCAGAAAACUGUUCUUCAAGUGUUGCCUGUAGCUAUUGGAGUUGUUGUUGGAUGGGUGUUUUCGGUUUUUCCACAACAAAGACAUGGAAUUGGUUACCCUCCUAGUACUGAUUCUACUGAAACAACCUCUACCAUAUCAUCCAAUGGAACUUCCCAAAUUCCAACCAAUAAUGUUUAAGAGAAUCAUCUUUCCAUUUUCUCUCUAUCAUGGCAAAAUUUAUUAUAUUAAGAAAGAAAAUAUUUUUUCUUAAUAUAAUGCUCUGUAGUUAGAAUUUAUUUUGUGUGACGGUGGUUUUUUAUUGUUUUAAAUUUAUUUAUGAACUUUGUGUUGGUGUGAAAAUUCUUGUGUAAUGCAACAUAAAUUUGUGCCACUGUAAAGUCGUAUUUGUGUGAAUAAUUCUUGAUUGAGUUUAUUGGUGGUACCAAGGCUGUUAAUUUUUUGAGAUUAUAAUUUAUAAAUACUUGAUUUUUUCAUACAAAAAUUGAUUGUUUUCUCACAAAAAGUCUCAAAUUGAACUUUUUGUUGUUGUUCAAAUGAACCUUCUUAGAUUAAGAAACAGCCAAAGAAACCUCAAUUUGAACUUUAGUUAGUUUGAACUUUGAAUCAACGACCGUGUGUAUAUUAUAUCUACGUGUAUGUAUAUUAAGACAAAAGUCUCUAAAAAAUAAUCACUCAUUAAUAUACAUCACAAUCAGCUUUCUUUCGUCGUCAUUUCAUUUUUCGUAAGUAACAUUGGAAUCUAUUGUAAUUAAUGGAAUAUAUUAUAAUUAAAUGAAAACUCCAUUUUUCAUUUAAAUAAAGACUGAUUUUUAAAGAGGAUUUAUAUGGUACAUUUGGAAAACCAACGGCCUUGGCACCAUUUGUUAUUUGAAUUAAUAUUUAAAUUGAUAAUCAAUUAUAAGACUUCUUUUAAAAUAGAAGCUAAAAUGAAUAAAUAUAAAGACUAAAAAUAUAUUUAAUUUUAUGAAUUAUUAUAACAUUGUACAUAAGAUAAAUAUUUGUUCCUAAAUGAUUAUCACAAAGUUUUUUAAGAAAUGAGUCACUAAAAGAGUGUUUAAUACAUACAUGGGAAAAAUAUUUUUCAUUAAUUAAUUAAUUAAAUUUAAUACUUUUUCAUAUCUUCUAAAUAAAAAUAAAAAUAAUUAAAAUAUACUACAUUCUUAAUCAUAAGCACCAUUUAAAAAAAAUUAUCUCUAACUAUAAGCACAUUUUUAGAGGGACUAUAAAUAUAUUCACACGACCAAAAACCUAUUUAAUGUUAUUUUAAUAUAUUCGCAUAAAAAUGAGAAUGAUUAUAUUAAUUCACACACGAGACUAUAUUUGUUAUUAAUUAAUUAGUUUAAUUUAAUAUUUUAUGAAUAUCGUAUAAAUAUAAAUAACAAUAUAUUAAUUAUAAAAAUCAUACACAUAAUAAAUAUUUUUCAUUAAAAAUUAGUUAAACUUAUUUUUGUUUUAAAUAUUAUCCACAUAGAAACGAUAUCAAUUAUAAUACACAUACUAUGGUCUACUUGAAUAAUUAACCAAUUCAAUCAAUUUAUAUAUAACAAUUAUUAUAUCAUUCAGUAAAAAAAUUAUAUAUCCUAAUAGUUUGUAUUUAACUAAUCAUUUUAUUCUUGUAAAAAAAAAACUAAUCAUUUUAUUAACUAUAAUUACAUUGGACUAAUAAAUUGAACCUAUGCGAAUUACAAUUUUAAAAUAUUAUAUUUGCAUCGAAUACAUCUCAUCAUAAUAUUAUAUAAGAUAUAUUAUAUUUAAAUGACAAAAUUGUCAUAGUAAAACGAUAACAUACUAUUUUUUUUUCCAAAUAACUAAAAAUAUUUUAAAUAUAUUAUAAAUUAAUAAAAAAUACUAAAAAAAUAAAUAAACAAUGAAAUAAUUUUGUAUUUAAAAAUCCAUUGACACUACUAAACAAAGAAUUUAAAGCUUUUAAAAAAUCACGAGUAACUAAGUAGUUAUAUUUAAUUUGUUAGAAAAGUAAAAUAAAAAUAUAAUAUAUAUUAUAUGUAAAUAGAAAAAAUACCAUUAUAAUAAAAUUAUAUUUAUUUACAAAAAUUUAGAUUAAUAUUGAUAGUUUUUUAAUUUUUUAAUAAUAAAUUAUUAGAUUAUAUAAAAUGAUGAAACUAUCUUUGUCAUAAAAUUAUUACAUAUUUUUUAAAAUCAAUUAUUUAUAUUUUACUUUUAAAUUUAAUAUCAAAUGCCAUUGUUUCUUAAUUUAUAUUUUAUUAGAUUUUAAUUUUAUACAUUUUAAAGUAUAUAUUUUAUAAAAAUAAUUGAGUAAAUUAUUAUUUUUUUGAAUCAUAUUUUUUCUAACUCAUUUCAUAUUCAAAAUAAAAAUUAUAACUAAAGAGGCAUGAUAUAAUAGUUUUUAAGAAUAACUUAUCUUAUUGUGUUAUUGUGUUAGUACAUCAAGAAAAAGACAUGAUAUGAUAUUUAUAUUAUUUCAUGUUUUUUAUCAUAUAUAUUAAAUGAACCAUUAAUACUGUGCACGAUACAUCUAUUAUUUAUUGAUAAUAAAUUAAAUUAUGAUAUACACAACCAUCCAUAUCUCCUCUUUAUGUAUUAGGUCUUUCUUUUUGUUUUGAGUUUUAUCUUUUAGUAGUUGAUAAGUAAUCAAUCCUUUUAGACAUAAGUAAUCGUUUAGGACUUAUUCAACAUGCAUGUCAAUGGCAUAGUGCAUAAGACAAUAGUGCAAAUGGCCAAAUGGGUGUAAAGAAAAGUAUUAUUUUUAAGGUAGUUGAGAUAUACAUUUCAAAAGUCCACUAUUAACUAGCAGCCUCAAAUCAUUAAUCUAACUUAAUUAGACUCAAAUCCAAGUCUAACUAAAUUAGGAGUCAUUUAAGACAAAGUCUCUUUACUCCUCUAUAAAAACAAACAAUCACAUAACAGAAAAACACAAACAAGCAAAACAAAAACUAUAGCUAGCUAGAUUCUCACCAACAGAAUCUCUUUAAUUAUUACUAAGAUGGAUAAAAAAAAUGAAACUGUUCCUUCACAUUCAUCCUUAAACAUAGAAACACCACCAACAACAACAAGUACCACCAACAAAAGUACAAAUGGCAUUGGAAGCCUCAUAAAACUACUUCCAACAGGAACAGUUUUCUUGUUCCAAUUCCUAAACCCUGUUGUUACAAACAGUGGUCAGUGCAAAGCAAUCAAUAAGUACCUAAGUUCAAUUCUUCUUGCAAUAUGCGGUUUCAAUUGCUUCUUUUCUACUUUCACAGAUAGCUACACAGGUACUGAUAACAAAAGACACUAUGGAUUUG
rnacentral:lncRNA from 1 species